AUGAAUGAGGGAACAUGUUUAUUUGGAGUGGAGGGAAGAACUUACAUCGUAUCUGGAGAAGAUGAUUGGCUGCAGCAGCUUGAUGUCGAAGGCUGGGACGACGAUGUUCUGCAACGCUUGGCUCACGCGUGUCUCCCCGAGCUGCUUUCGCACGACGGAGUGCAGAUAUUUGCCGUUGUACUUGGGCCCCUUGAUGCUCUUGAGCAAGCCGAGAGGCCCGCGCUUGACGCGAGGGAAGAUCUUUGGGCAGUGCUCCAGGUAGAAGGCGUUGAUGUCCUUGGCGGCGAAGAGCGGGCGGCCGUCGGCAUUAGGCGCGGUGAGCAUGGCGGUCACCAGCCCGCCGGUUCUGGUCCCUGCAAUCACGUCGAAGUAGUCGGCAACCCUGGCCUCGGGUCCAUCAAGUUCCUGCAAUCAGUUGCACACACCAACAGUUAG
rnacentral:rRNA from 1 species